GUCAAAUGUUACCAUAGCAAUAACCUCUGCCCUGUUGACCUAUAAGUUUAUUGGGUAAGACUUCAGUGAUUUCCUUCCGUUUAUUACUAACUUUUUCUGUGUGAGCUUUUUUACAGCAUGUAAAUUUUAUUUUGCUGUUUGUUGAGUUUGAAUUCAAGUUUUUCUUUUAAAUUGUUUCUUCUGCUACUUAAGGAUAUUAAGAGGUGAAUGCCAUUUUAUGUAAAUGUUUUCAGAUACUUUUGAUGAAUUUUAAAUUUCAGAAGUUUUUUAACUGCAUGUGCAAAGAUGUCAUCAGUAAAUUAACUAAUGUUUUGAGGAAUUAUUGAUCACCAAAUCUCUAUGACAGAAUGACUUGUUGUCCGCAUUGAAACUCGUGGUUGAAUUACAUGUAAUACAAACAGUUACAUUGAGUUUUUACGGCUUUAAGUUAAUUUACCCUGUGUUUAAAAUUAUUGAUUAUCCAAAAAACAAGUUAUUCAUGAACGUAUUCUGCAUGAGACAGAUUAUUAGUCCAUCCUGUGCUACAGACAAUCAGAACCUACUAGAACUGCAUGUGUUAUGAAGAUUUUGUACAUGUAUUUGUAUGUUUGAAUGUUUAGAAUGAGGAAACACUAUAGUAGUCCAUAUUUAAUUUCUUACAUUACCGGGUAUUUACAAACCUUGUAUAAAUUUUGAAUGAUAUGGCAUGUACAAUGUAUACAGUAGUUGUAUUUGAAACAUACCAUUGCCAACAUUCAUAAGCAUUUCCCUUUUUAUUUCAGGUUGAUUGCCAGCUCUGUAGAUUUGACCUUUUGACCCCCACUUUCUGUGGAACAAUGAACAUUGAUAAUGUUAAACAUUCCUAGUUGCUCAUCAUUCCAAUAAUUACAUCUAUUUUAUAUGAUUGUUAUUGAUCCUGUUAUGAAUAUUUUAUACAUUAUACAUACAUGUAUUAUAACAAAUUACCUAUAAUUAUAGUUGUAAAAUCAUUAAAGUUAGAAA
rnacentral:misc_RNA from 1 species